GCCCGGGUGGCUCAGUCGGUUAAGCGUCUGGCUUCAGCUCAGGUCAUGAUCUCACAGUCUGUGGGUUCGAGUCCCGUGUCGGGCU
rnacentral:tRNA from 1 species